rnacentral:rRNA from 1 species
GACGAACGCUGGCGGCGUGCCUAAUACAUGCAAGUAGGACGCAGUUGCGAACGGGUGAGUAACGCGUAGGUAACUACCUAUUAGAGGGGGAUAACUAUUGGAAACGAUAGCUAAUACCGCAUACUAGUAGAUGGACCUGCGUUGUAUUCGUUAGUAGGUAAGGUAAUGGCCUAACUAGGCAACGAUACAUAGCCGACCUGAGAAGGUGAUCGGCCACCAUUGGACUGAGACACGGCCCCGAAUCCCACGGGAGGCAGCAGUAGGGAAUCUUCGGCAAUGGGGGGAAAGCUGACCGAGUAACGCCGCGUGGGUGAAGAAGGUUUUUGGGUCGUAAAGCUCUGUUGUUAAGGAAGCGGUACUUAACCAGAAAGGGACGGCUAACUACGUGCCAGCCGCCGCGGUAAUUC